rnacentral:lncRNA from 1 species
UUUAGGGUUUAGUAAUUAGUGAUUAAGGUUUAGUAUUUAGAGUAAUAGCGGUCAGUUUGAGGUCAAUAUUAGAUUUUGAGAUUUGGGUUUAGAGUUUAGGGUUUAGGGUGUAUACUUGGGUUUAAAGUUUAGUGAUUAAGAUUUAGGGUUUAGUAUUUAGAAGGCCGGGGUUGGGAUUUGGGUUUAGUGAACAUGUAUAGUUUCAUUUGUCGAUUAAUAAAGAGUGUUCUAUUUUGCUCACCAAUAUGUUUUAUACUAUUUAUUUUAUUCCAUUAUAUUUGAGUUUAGGGUCUAUACUUGGGUUUACGAUUUAGUGAUUAGUGUUUAGAGUUUAGUAUUUGGAAGGUGUGGGGUUAAAGUUUGGGAUUAGUGAUAGCAGUUUAGGGUUUAGUAUUGAAAAUGUGCCUUCAAGUGUCCGAUAUUGGAAAUUUUUUUAUAGAUUGUAUUUGAAUUUAUAGGUUCCUGCCU